rnacentral:rRNA from 1 species
GACGUAGGGCGCAAGCGUUGUCCGGAAUUAUUGGGCGUAAAGAGCUCGUAGGCGGCUUGUUGCGUCGACUGUGAAAACCCACGACUCAACCGUGGGACUGCAGUCGAUACGGGCAGGCUAGAGUUCGGUAGGGGAGACUGGAAUUCCUGGUGUAGCGGUGAAAUGCGCAGAUAUCAGGAGGAACACCGGUGGCGAAGGCGGGUCUCUGGGCCGAUACUGACGCUGAGGAGCGAAGGCCAGGGGAGCAAACGGG